UACGUAGGGGGCAAGCGUUGUCCGGAAUCAUUGGGCGUAAAGAGCGCGUAGGCGGUCCGGUAAGUCCGCUCUGAAAGUCCGGGGCUCAACCCCGGGAGGCGGGCGGAUACUGUCGGGCUAGAGUCCGGAAGAGGCGAGUGGAAUUCCUGGUGUAGCGGUGAAAUGCGCAGAUAUCAGGAGGAACACCAAUGGCGAAGGCAAUCCCCUGGGCCUGCACUGACGCUCAUGCACGAAAGCGUGGGGAGCAAACAGG
rnacentral:rRNA from 1 species